AAACGUCGCCCCUGCAACAUGGCCACAACGUAGGCACGUCGGUUAGCGUCGUCAUUUUCAGUGACGUCGUAGCAUCAUGGCGGCUUCCGUGGCUCGACGCUGCUUUUCUUUUUGCGGGAAUGUCCGCGCUCGCUUAACAGUGAUUCCGCAGCCGGUAAAACGUCAGCGUGUUCAAACGAGUCUCCAGCCGAACGCUGCCCAUGUAACCCGAGGGUCACACAAUGGGCAGGAUGCCCAAGUAUACAUUCCAGUAGACCGUCUGACCGUGUCUUACAGUAGAAGCGGUGGUCCCGGUGGUCAGCAUGUCAAUAAAGUCAACACGAAAACAGAGAUCCGAUUCCACGUGUUAACUGCAGACUGGAUCCCAGAGGACGUGCGACAGAAAAUCCUGGAAAAGAACAAAAAUCGAAUCAACAAGGCUGGCGAGUUGUUGGUGACGUCAGAGCUGAGCAGGAGCCAGCACAGAAACGUCAGUGACUGCUUCCAGAAGAUCUCAGCCAUUAUUGCUGAAGCUCGCGAGAAACCACACGAGGCCACGCCAGAAGAGAUCGCCCUCAGGAAAUCGAGGUAACUCUUUCACACCAUUUGCUCAUAUAGCCGCGCUUAUACACUGUGUUCCAAAUUAUUAUCUAUGUAGGAUUUAUGUUAAAUAAUUGAAUCGAAGUCAGCACACAACUGUAAUAAUUGAAAGUGCAACCCCAAAUACAGUUCAGAUUUUGUUUUCGAGAAGAAUUUCGAGAAGCUUUUGUGCUAACGCUGACUCUGUAGUAUUUGGAACUGUUCAUAAAUCACUCCACCUUGACCAAUGAUGCUGCCACCACCAUGCUUCAAUGAAGGUACGGUGUUCUUUUGGUGAUGAGUAAACAUAUGGCCCAAAAGGUUCAACCUCGGUUUCAUCCAAUCAUAACACAUUUAUUAACGUUUCUGGGAGAUUCCAGGUGUUUUUUUUUUUUGCUAAAUGUAGCCGGGUUUGGUUGUUUUUCUUUGUAAGAUGUGUCACUAAAUAUACAUAUAUUUCAAACUACAAGCUACUUUUCCCCCUCAAUGUGGGCCUGAUCAUCAAGCAGUGCGUCUGCAAAGAUAAGAUAAGACCGUUUUGAAGACGACGACGACGACAAGGUAGCCGUGACGUUGGGGCUGCAGAGGAUCCUAGAAUAAUCCUUCCAGCAGUGCAUCAACGUGUGGCAAGUUUUGAUUUGAAAUCUAUCUUUUUGGGCACACCUCGUAUGAAGACGUUAGGAGAUUAUUGUCACAUAUACUAAAUACCGGGACUUGCCAGAAAUUUCUGCAGCUUCUUCAAUCAGAAUCAGAAUCAUCUUUAUUUUGCCAAGUAUGUCCAAAAACACCAAAACACACAAGGAAUUUGUCUCCGGUAGUUGGAGCCGCUCGAGUACGAUGACAGACGAUGAUGUUGGUCGCCCACUUAAGGUCCUGAGAGACUGUAAUUCCCAGGAACUUGAAGGUCUCGACAGUUGACACGAGGCAGCUGGACAGCGCGAAGGAUGCCUCCUGAAGUCCACGAUCGUGACUUGAGCGUGUUCGGCUCCAGGUUGCGUCGUCGCACCGCACCGCUCCGCUUCCUGUCGAUAUGCAGACUCGAGUGCUGUCAUCUGCGAACGUCAGACGUUUGACAGGCAGGCGCGUUGAGGUGCAGUCGUUCGUGUAGAGAGAGAAGAGCAGCGGAGAGAGGACACAACCUUGGGGCGCCCCAGUGUCCUUUUCAAAUCUGCAGUGGAAGGUUGGACAAGAGGAGCAAAGAGAGAAUCAGACAGAAGAAGAUCCAUUCUGCUACUAAACAGAGCAGGCGACUGGAGUUUGAUUAAUGUUUCAACCUGUCACUAUUUCAUGUAUUUUUCAUUUUAUUGAUAAUAAAGUGGUUUUGAAACGUC